UCCUUAUCAAGAGAGGUGGAGGGACUGCGCCCUAUGAAACCCGGCAACCGGCAUUUGCACGGUGCCAAAUCCUGCAGGAUUAAUUCCUGAGAGAUGAGGA
rnacentral:ncRNA from 2 species